AGUCUGAAUAGGGCGUUUAGUAUUUGGUCGUAGACCCGAAACCAGGUGAUCUACCCUUGGUCAGGUUGAAGUUCAGGUAACACUGAAUGGAGGACCGAACCGACUUACGUUGAAAAGUGAGCGGAUGAACUGAGGGUAGCGGAGAAAUUCCAAUCGAACCUGGAGAUAGCUGGUUCUCUCCGAAAUAGCUUUAGGGCUAGCCUCAAGUGAUGAUUAUUGGAGGUAGAGCACUGUUUGGACGAGGGGCCCCUCUCGGGUUACCGAAUUCAGACAAACUCCGAAUGCCAAUUAAUUUAACUUGGGAGUCAGAACAUGGGUGAUAAGGUCCGUGUUCGAAAGGGAAACAGCCCAGACCACCAGCUAAGGUCCCAAAAUAUAUGUUAAGUGGAAAAGGAUGUGGCGUUGCCCAGACAACUAGGAUGUUGGCUUAGAAGCAGCCAUCAUUUAAAGAGUGCGUAAUAGCUCACUAGUCGAGUGACACUGCGCCGAAAAUGUACCGGGGCUAAACAUAUUACCGAAGCUGUGGAUUGUCCUUUGGACAAUGGUAGGAGAGCGUUCUAAGGGCGUUGAAGCAUGAUCGUAAGGACAUGUGGAGCGCUUAGAAGUGAGAAUGCCGGUGUGAGUAGCGAAAGACGGGUGAGAAUCCCGUCCACCGAUUGACUAAGGUUUCCAGAGGAAGGCUCGUCCGCUCUGGGUUAGUCGGGUCCUAAGCUGAGGCCGACAGGCGUAGGCGAUGGAUAACAGGUUGAUAUUCCUGUACCACCUAUAAUCGUUUUAAUCGAUGGGGGGACGCAGUAGGAUAGGCGAAGCGUGCGAUUGGAUUGCACGUCUAAGCAGUAAGGCUGAGUAUUAGGCAAAUCCGGUACUCGUUAAGGCUGAGCUGUGAUGGGGAGAAGACAUUGAGUCUUCGAGUCGUUGAUUUCACACUGCCGAGAAAAGCCUCUAGAUAGAAAAUAGGUGCCCGUACCGCAAACCGACACAGGUAGUCAAGAUGAGAAUUCUAAGGUGAGCGAGCGAACUCUCGUUAAGGAACUCGGCAAAAUGACCCCGUAACUUCGGGAGAAGGGGUGCUCUUUAGGGUUAACGCCCAGAAGAGCCGCAGUGAAUAGGCCCAAGCGACUGUUUAUCAAAAACACAGGUCUCUGCUAAACCGUAAGGUGAUGUAUAGGGGCUGACGCCUGCCCGGUGCUGGAAGGUUAAGAGGAGUGGUUAGCUUCUGCGAAGCUACGAAUCGAAGCCCCAGUAAACGGCGGCCGUAACUAUAACGGUCCUAAGGUAGCGAAAUUCCUUGUCGGGUAAGUUCCGACCCGCACGAAAGGCGUAACGAUUUGGGCACUGUCUCAACGAGAGACUCGGUGAAAUCAUAGUACCUGUGAAGAUGCAGGUUACCCGCGACAGGACGGAAAGACCCCGUGGAGCUUUACUGUAGCCUGAUAUUGAAAUUCGGCACAGCUUGUACAGGAUAGGUAGGAGCCUUUGAAACGUGAGCGCUAGCUUACGUGGAGGCGCUGGUGGGAUACUACCCUAGCUGUGUUGGCUUUCUAACCCGCACCACUUAUCGUGGUGGGAGACAGUGUCAGGCGGGCAGUUUGACUGGGGCGGUCGCCUCCUAAAAGGUAACGGAGGCGCUCAAAGGUUCCCUCAGAAUGGUUGGAAAUCAUUCAUAGAGUGUAAAGGCAUAAGGGAGCUUGACUGCGAGACCUACAAGUCGAGCAGGGUCGAAAGACGGACUUAGUGAUCCGGUGGUUCCGCAUGGAAGGGCCAUCGCUCAACGGAUAAAAGCUACCCCGGGGAUAACAGGCUUAUCUCCCCCAAGAGUUCACAUCGACGGGGAGGUUUGGCACCUCGAUGUCGGCUCAUCGCAUCCUGGGGCUGUAGUCGGUCCCAAGGGUUGGGCUGUUCGCCCAUUAAAGCGGUACGCGAGCUGGGUUCAGAACGUCGUGAGACAGUUCGGUCCCUAUCCGUCGUGGGCGUAGGAAAUUUGAGAGGAGCUGUCCUUAGUACGAGAGGACCGGGAUGGACAUACCUCUGGUGUACCAGUUGUCGUGCCAACGGCAUAGCUGGGUAGCUAUGU
rnacentral:rRNA from 1 species